rnacentral:rRNA from 1 species
GGCGGACGGGUGAGUAACGCGUGGGAAUCUGCCCUGCAGUGGGGGACAACCCGAGGAAACUCGGGCUAAUACCGCAUACGUCUUACGAGAGAAAGGGGGCUUCGGCUCUCGCUGCAGGAUGAGCCCGCGUCCGAUUAGCUUGUUGGUAGGGUAACGGCCUACCAAGGCGACGAUCGGUAGCUGGUCUGAGAGGAUGAUCAGCCACACUGGGACUGAGACACGGCCCAGACUCCUACGGGAGGCAGCAGUGGGGAAUAUUGGACAAUGGGCGAAAGCCUGAUCCAGCAAUGCCGCGUGUGUGAAGAAGGCCUGCGGGUUGUAAAGCACUUUCAGUGGGGAAGAAAAGCGCGAGGUUAAUACCCUUGCGUGUUGACGUUACCCACAGAAGAAGCACCGGCUAACUCCGUGCCAGCAGCCGCGGUAAUACGGAGGGUGCGAGCGUUAAUCGGAAUCACUGGGCGUAAAGCGCACGUAGGCGGCGAGGUCAGUCAGAUGUGAAAGCCCCGGGCUCAACCUGGGAACUGCAUUUGAUACUGCCUGGCUUGAGUAUGGUAGA